GACGAACGCUGGCGGCGUGCCUAAUACAUGCAAGUCGAACGCAUUUUCUUUCACCGUAGCUUGCUACACCGAAAGAAAAUGAGUGGCGAACGGGUGAGUAACACGUGGGUAACCUGCCCAUCAGCGGGGGAUAACACUUGGAAACAGGUGCUAAUACCGCAUAAUUCCAUUUACCGCAUGGUAAAUGGAUGAAAGGCGCUUUUGCGUCACUGAUGGAUGGACCCGCGGUGCAUUAGCUAGUUGGUGGGGUAACGGCCUACCAAGGCUGCGAUGCAUAGCCGACCUGAGAGGGUGAUCGGCCACACUGGGACUGAGACACGGCCCAGACUCCUACGGGAGGCAGCAGUAGGGAAUCUUCGGCAAUAGACGCAAGUCUGACCGAGCAACGCCGCGUGAGUGAAGAAGGUUGUCGGAUCGUAAAACUCUGUUGUUAGAGAAGAACAAGGAUGAGAGUGGAAAGUUCAUCCCUUGACGGUAUCUAACCAGAAAGCCACGGCUAACUACGUG
rnacentral:rRNA from 1 species